UCCUCGGUAGCUCAACGGUAGAGCAUGCGGCUGUUAACCGCAGGGUUGCAGGUUCGAAUCCUGCCCGGGGAGCCA
rnacentral:tRNA from 2 species